rnacentral:rRNA from 1 species
AAAAGUGAAAGACGGUCUUGCUGUCACUUAUAGAUGGAUCCGCGCUGCAUUAGCUAGUUGGUAAGGUAACGGCUUACCAAGGCAACGAUGCAUAGCCGACCUGAGAGGGUGAUCGGCCACACUGGAACUGAGACACGGUCCAGACUCCUACGGGAGGCAGCAGUAGGGAAUCUUCCGCAAUGGGCGAAAGCCUGACGGAGCAACGCCGCGUGAGUGAUGAAGGUCUUCGGAUCGUAAAACUCUGUUAUUAGGGAAGAACAUAUGUGUAAGUAACUGUGCACAUCUUGACGGUACCUAAUCAGAAAGCCACGGCUAACUACGUGCCAGCAGCCGCGGUAAUACGUAGGUGGCAAGCGUUAUCCGGAAUUAUUGGGCGUAAAGCGCGCGUAGGCGGUUUUUUAAGUCUGAUGUGAAAGCCCACGGCUCAACCGUGGAGGGUCAUUGGAAACUGGAAAACUUGAGUGCAGAAGAGGAAAGUGGAAUUCCAUGUGUAGCGGUGAAAUGCGCAGAGAUAUGGAGGAACACCAGUGGCGAAGGCGACUUUCUGGUCUGUAACUGACGCUGAUGUGCGAAAGCGUGGGGAUCAAACAGGAUUAGAUACCCUGGUAGUCCACGCCAUAAACGAUGAGUGCUAAGUGUUAGGGGGUUUCCGCCCCUUAGUGCUGCAGCUAACGCAUUAAGCACUCCGCCUGGGGAGUA